UCUGCUCCCCUGGCCCCUGACUCUCAGCUGGGUGGACGGCAGGGCCCGGCAGCAGUUGGGCUUUUCUCCCUGAAGGGCAGGGCCCGUGACAUGUCCUCUAGAGGGCCAGUAGCCGGGGCAGUGGGUCCUACUGGCAGAGAACCCAAGCCCACUGUCCCUGGUCAGCCAGAGACUGAGCUCUGGGGCAGGAGGCAAAGGAGGCUGCUGGGAGCAGGGCCCUUCAGGCAGGCAGGGCUGGGGCCUUUCCGUCUUUCGCUGCCCUCGCUCCUGCUCCAGCAGGGCCGACUCCAGCCUCGUCCCACCGCCCGCCUCUGCCUGCAGUGCUCCAGCCCCUCCUCCACUCGCCUGCAGGACCCAGUGCAAUGUCCCCACCUCCGAGAGGCCUCCCGUGACUCCUCCAGACAAGGCCUGCCUGCCUUCCCUCUGUGUCCACUCCUCCUACAGUGACAUUGGUGGCAGGCAGUCCCCACAACAGCCCAGUGAUGCUCAGUCCUGGUCUCCGCACCACUGUGCUGCUCCUGCUCACGUCGACGAGGGCUGAGCCGUGUGACCAACAGGACACUGUAGAAGAGAUGGCGUGUCAUUUCCAAGAAACCGUGUGACGUGAUGGGCACUAGUUAACCGGUAAGGACCUCAGUGGCCCUUGCAGAACUGUCCUUGGCGCUGCGUGUGGACUCGGUGGAGCCAUCGCUCGGCACUCCUUCCUCCCCGCACUAAGCUGUGGGCACCCUGACCCUGGAGAGAACAACGAGACCCUCGAUCUGGAAUUUGUAUCUGGAGUAGAGAUGCCAGACCAGGAACCAGUUGGAUUGAUUGCAGAAACUGCUUGACAUCACACACACAUACGUACAUGUAAACACAUAUGCAUACAUACAUAUACACAUAUGUAUAUGCACAUACAUAU